rnacentral:rRNA from 1 species
UUUNCGUCAAUGGGGGGAACCCUGAACGAGCNAUGCCGCGUGAGUGAAGAAGGUCUUCGGAUCGUAAAACCCUGUUGUUAGAGAAGAAAGUGCGUGAGAGUAACUGUUCACGUUUCGACGGUAUCUAACCAGAAAGCAACGGCCAACUACGUGGCAGCAGCCGCGGUAAUACGUAGGUGGCAAGCGUUAUCCGGAUUUAUUGGGCGUAAAGAGAACGCAGGCGGUCUUUUAAGUCUGAUGUGAAAGCCUUCGGCUUAACCGGAGUAGUGCAUUGGAAACUGGGAGACUUGAGUGCAGAAGAGGAGAGUGGAACUCCAUGUGUAGCGGUGAAAUGCGUAGAUAUAUGGAAGAACACCAGUGGCGAAAGCGGCUCUCUGGUCUGUAACUGACGCUGAGGUUCGAAAGCGUGGGUAGCAAACAGG